rnacentral:rRNA from 1 species
UACGGAGGAUCCAAGCGUUAUCCGGAAUCAUUGGGUUUAAAGGGUCCGUAGGCGGGCCUGUAAGUCAGUGGUGAAAUCCGGCGGCUUAACCGUCGAACUGCCAUUGAUACUGCAGGUCUUGAAUUAUUGGGAAGUAACUAGAAUAUGUAGUGUAGCGGUGAAAUGCUUAGAUAUUACAUGGAAUACCGAUUGCGAAGGCAGGUUACUAUCAAUAUAUUGACGCUGAUGGACGAAAGCGUGGGGAGCGAACAGG